UAUCUGCCGUGGGCGUAAGAAGAUUGAAGAGAUUUGACCCUAGUACGAGAGGACCGGGUUGAACAAACCACUGGUGUAGCUGUUGUUCUGCCAAGAGCAUCGCAGCGUAGCUAAGUUUGGAAAGGAUAAACGCUGAAAGCAUCUAAGCGUGAAGCCAACUCUAAGAUGAAUCUUCUCUAAGCUCUCUAGAAGACUACUAGUUUGAUAGGCUGGGUGUGUAAUGGAUGAAAGUCCUUUAGCUGACCAGUACUAAUAGAGCGUUUGGCUUAUCUUU
rnacentral:rRNA from 1 species